rnacentral:rRNA from 1 species
AUGCGUGCGGGAACUCGCGGAGGUGGGCGCAUGCUGUGGCGCGGUGGUGCUCGGGGGUGGUCAGCGGCAGCUCAGGCAUGGGCUUCAUGUCGCCGUUGGCGGCCGUCCCUGGCCGGAUCCGUGGGCCUCGCGCCCGGAUCUGUGGGCUGGCGGUGGUUGCAGGGAGAUGGAGGUGGUGCAGUGGGGUGGCUGGAUAUUCCCCUUUUGGCGGCUGGUUCUUGCUGCUCCGCGAGAGGGCGCUGGAUUUGGACGCCGGAUGCUUCAGUGCGACGUGGAGUUGGUUCCAGCCUCUGGUGGCUCACAAGUGGUUGGGCCAUGGGCGGUGGCGGGGCUGCCAUGGCCCUCUUCGUCGGCUGGUGCAGUGGGUGUGUGGCAGCAGCAAAAAAGAAAAGGAAAAUGACUGAUCUCAAUGAGUUGCCUCCUGAUCUCAAUGAGAUUCCUCAUGAUGUGGAUCAACAACAACCCAGCGUACCACCAGGAGCUAAUGCUGAUUAUGAGACAGAAAAUGGGCGCUCUGUUUACUACACGCAGAUAACCCGUGUGCCUAACCCUAUAGGCCAUGACAAUGUGGUAGGGCAGUUAUCAACCCGUGGUGCUCCUGUAGCUGUGUCUUUGCAGUCAGAGAACCAUACUCUUGAUGACACGAGCACCGCGGCAAAUGUUCCUUGUCCAACCAGGACUGAGCUCGGAGCUGGUGUUGUUGACGACGUUGUGCAAGGAGAGGAAAGAGAGGAUGAGGUUGGUUCUCAGCCCAUGGAACCCUAUACUGGCAUGAGGUUUGGCAGUCUUUAA